rnacentral:lncRNA from 1 species
GGAGUUUACCAUGUUUACAAUACUUACGGAAACAAUCGAAAUAAUUAUAGUUUGCAUUAUCAUUGCUUGUAUUUUUAUACCGAGUAUCAUGUUGGAUGAUGAUAUUUGACUUGUGAAGGAUUGACAAAAGAUUUUUAUAUUGUGGAUUAAAUGGAACAUUUGAAAUAUUCCUAAUGUGUGGAUUACAUGAGAUAUCCAAAUGUUGUUUACGUGAUGUAAAAUAGGACUAUGUAUCGGUUCUACUAAUAUAAGGAUUAAAAUGGACGGAUAAUUUGUUAUAGAGCAAGGAUGUAUCAUGGAAGAGGUUGUUUUAUGGAUAGCUAUUGAGAUAAACAGAGAAAUUGAAUUCAGAUAUAUGUGGAUUAAUGAAUUGAUAU